CGGACGGGUGAGUAACACGUGGAUAACCUACCUAUAAGACUGGGAUAACUUCGGGAAACCGGAGCUAAUACCGGAUAAUAUUUUGAACCGCAUGGUUCAAAAGUGAAAGACGGUCUUGCUGUCACUUAUAGAUGGAUCCGCGCUGCAUUAGCUAGUUGGUAAGGUAACGGCUUACCAAGGCAACGAUGCAUAGCCGACCUGAGAGGGUGAUUGGCCACACUGGAACUGAGACACGGUCCAG
rnacentral:rRNA from 1 species